UACGUAGGGUGCGAGCGUUGUCCGGAAUUAUUGGGCGUAAAGAGCUUGUAGGCGGUCUGUCGCGUCUGCUGUGAAAAUCCGGGGCUCAACCCCGGACUUGCAGUGGGUACGGGCAGACUAGAGUGUGGUAGGGGAGACGGGAAUUCCUGGUGUAGCGGUGAAAUGCGCAGAUAUCAGGAGGAACACCGAUGGCGAAGGCAGGUCUCUGGGCCACUACUGACGCUGAGAAGCGAAAGCAUGGGGAGCGAACAGG
rnacentral:rRNA from 1 species